rnacentral:rRNA from 1 species
UACGGGAGGGUGCGAGCGUUGUCCGGAAUCACUGGGCGUAAAGGGCGCGUAGGUGGCCGAGCAAGGUUGCGGUGAAAGCCCGGGCUCAACCCCGGUCGGCCGUGGCAACUACUCGGCUUGAGCACUGUAGGGGCGGGUGGAAUUCCGGGUGUAGCGGUGGAAUGCGUAGAGAUCCGGAAGAACACCGGUGGCGAAGGCGGCCCGCUGGGCAGGAAGGCUCGCAAGAGCCGGCUGACACUGAGGCGCGACAGCGUGGGGAGCAAACAGG